UCUACCCUAACUGAAGGAAGCCAAAAUUUCCUUACUUCAAUUGCUUUUUAGGAACUCAAUGAUGUUUAAUAGAAUGCAAAGUUUGCAAGGAGAAAAUAGAUAAAGGAGGAAAUAAUAAAGAAGUAAGAAAGAAGCAUGAAAAUGGACUAGAUUCCAUUCUGCCAUUGAAAGACGAAUCGUCAACGGUUCACACAUGAGCACCGAGACGAAGGAGCUGCCAAAUGGAAAAGCCCAGAUUCUUGACUGCAUUUUCUUCUAUCACUUGUCUAAAUGAAGCUAAAAGCAUUUUUUACCUCAUGUGUUGAAGAUGAUCCAGGGAUAUAAUUCAUACAGAGCAUUUAGUAAAUAAUACAUUUUAGCUAUUUAUCAUCAUCAUCAUCAUUACAUGGGAGAAGAACGCAACAUCUUUGCUAUUGCACAACAAAGUGAUAAAACCCUUAUGCAGACCAUUUAUUUAUUUCAACUGACUCAAGCAUGCUGCGCCUGACAAACUGAGCUUCCAUGGAUGGGGAAAUGACGCUA